rnacentral:lncRNA from 1 species
UUUCGACUCCUACAAUAAUUUCGACCUUCAUUGACCAAAGUAGCUUGGUCAUCAAAUUCUUCCUCCACUUCCUCAUCAAAAGGUGGUGUUGGAAGUCUUUUUGCCCUUGGAUUGGUUUGGGAAGCUUCCCCUCUCAUGGAAUUUAACUCACUUUGUUGUUUCUCUAGUUUUUCAUUCAUGUUGCCAAUAGCUAGUUGAAUCCUCUCAAAUUCUUGUUGCAUUACUUUGAGGAUGAAUUCUUGAUCUUUUGAUGUUCUUUCACUCCCUUGUGGCUCAAUCUUCAAAUCUAAAAUUUUAAUAACAAACAAAAUUGAUUG